CCACGCCAUGAUGUUCAGCACCUAAACAAACCCAAUAAGCAAAAUCAAAAUAAAUAAAUAAAAUCGAUCUGGGUAUUUUAAUUCAACCAAAAUUCUAACUUUUUCAAUAUGCGUCUUCUUUCUUUCUUUCUUUUUGGGUUUUUUUUUAUAUAUUCGUUUUCUUCUUGUUCUGGUUUUGGUUCCAGAAAGAAAGAAGGGGGUUUUAAGAGAGAGAGAGAGAGAGAGAGAGAGAGAGAGAGAGAGAGAGAGAGAGAGAGAGAGAGAGAAGGUUCUGGAGGGUGGGCUAGGGUCAGGUACGAAUCGGUACCCCAGCAAUGUCUUCUCCUAUCUUCUUCGGGGAGAGACCCAGAGGACCGAUCUUGGGUCGAACGUUGGAGGCAUGGCUUCUUCGAUGGCGCUCUGGGUUAGGGUUUUGGAGGGAGUCCAUGACCCAUGACCCGGUGGACUAAGGGACAUGGAAGCUCCAUGCCUAGCAGAUUGGGGUCUUUCCCAAUUUCUCAUUCAUCAAUCUCCCAAAACUUAAAUCAAUUCACCAACCAAAACCUUUAAAUCCCAAAUUCUCAUUGUUUAAGUAGCUAGACUAUGACGAGAUAUUGGCUGGUGACAAUGCUCUGGAUAUGAUGGGCAAGGCGGUGGGGAGUACGAGGGGUGAAGCGCGGGUGGGAUAUUGUUGUUGUUGUCUUUUUAUUUUUUUUCAAUUUAAAGAUUUUUUUAUUUGUCUUUAAUAUUUAAUUUUAUAAUUAAUGAAUUUUUUAAUAAUUUGUGAAUCGAAUUUCUCCUUCCAAAACUAACAAAAGUUUAAAUUUUUUUU
rnacentral:lncRNA from 1 species